UCCGUAGGUGAACCUGCGGAAGGAUCAUUGCACACACAAACUGCGAAGCAAACCAUACUCUAGUGGGGGUCGGGGCGUGGUGGCGACUCGUCAUCGCGUCCCGGCUCCUGACCGCGCGAACUGUCCCAUUUCGUUGUGACUUGUCCCAUUCCUUCUCGUAAAUCUCCGCGAUUUC
rnacentral:rRNA from 1 species